rnacentral:rRNA from 1 species
CGCUGGCGGCGUGCCUAAUACAUGCAAGUCGAACGGUCUUUCUAUGGAAGCUUGCUUCCACUGAGAAGAUAGUGGCGAACGGGUGAGUAACACGUGGGUAACCUGCCCAUAAGAGGGGGAUAACAUCCGGAAACGGGUGCUAAUACCGCAUAGUUUUCUUGAUCGCAUGAUUGAGAAAGGAAAGAUGGCCUUUGUGCUGUCGCUUAUGGAUGGACCCGCGGCGUAUUAGUUAGUUGGUGAGGUAACGGCUCACCAAGACGAUGAUAUGUAGCCGACCUGAGAGGGUGAUCGGCCACAUUGGGACUGAGACACGGCCCAAACUCCUACGGGAGGCAGCAGUAGGGAAUCUUCCGCAAUGGACGAAAGUCUGACGGAGCAACGCCGCGUGAGUGAAGAAAGGUUUUCGGAUCGUAAAACUCUGUUGUCAGAGAAGAACAAGUUGGAGAGUAACUGCUCCAGCCUUGACGGUAUCUGACCAGAAAGCCACGGCUAACUACGUGCCAGCCGCUGC